CCUAGGGGUGGCAGCAGUGGGGAAUAUUGCGCAAUGGGGGCAACCCUGACGCAGCAACGCCGCGUGAUUGAAGAAGGCCUUCGGGUUGUAAAGAUCUUUAAUCGGGGACGAAUUUUGACGGUACCCGAAGAAUAAGCUCCGGCUAGCUACGUGCCAGCAGCCGCGGUAAUACGUAGGGAGCAAGCGUUAUCCGGAUUUACUGGGUGUAAAGGGCGUGUAGGCGGGCAUGCAAGCCAGAAGUGAAAUCUGGGGGCUUAACCCCAAACUGCUUUUGGAACUGCGUGUCUUGAGUGAUGGAGAGGCAGGCGGAAUUCCCAGUGUAGCGGUGAAAUGCGUAGAUAUUGGGAGGAACCCCGAUUGCGAAGGCAGCUUACUAAACUGUGACUGACAUUGAUGCUCGAAAGUGUGGGUAUCAAACAGGAUUAGAUACCCUUGUAGUC
rnacentral:rRNA from 1 species